rnacentral:lncRNA from 1 species
UUCAUUAUACUAGACUCUUUGAAGGUUACAUUGGAUUGAAAAAUAUCGGGUUGUCACAUCAUCCCCCCGUUAGAGGGAAUUUCGUCCCAAAAUUUAAUCUAAGAUAGAGUUCUAUGAAAAAGAUGCGGGUACUUUUGUUUCAUCUGAUCCUCGCGUUCCCAGGUGUAUUCAGGUCCUCACUUGGCGUUCCAGCAGACCUUCACAAUGGGUAUGCGACUUUGUUUAGUUCUUUUAAUUUCCCGAUCCAUGAUCUCUACCGGAUCUUCCACGAAUUGGAGACUCUCGUUGAUUUCAAUUUCGUCUAGAGGGAUAACGAGGGUCUCAUCGGAUAGGCACUUCUUCAGGUUCGAUACGUGAAGGUAGGGUGCAUGUUAUUGAGUUCCUGUGGUAAUCGAAGUUUGUAAGCCACCGGAACGAUCUGAUCAAGGAUCUCGAAUGGUCCUGAUGGGAUUAAAACAACUUUUAAUCUAUGAAGAUCGAUUAGAUCUUGAACAAGUAUAUGAAUAUGAAACAGCAAGAACGCAAUUUUAAUAACAAAACAGAACACAAUAUUAAGAACAAAACAGCUUGAAUCAAUCGUGUCGAAUGAUUAAAUAAAAUCCUUAGAAGAGCUCGAUUAAGAACAUCAACUGUAAAGGAUUAGAAGAUUACAAGAACGAUUACAGAAAAAUAUUGUACUCUUGAUCAAUCGCUAUAUCGAUAAUCUCUAGAAUCUUAACCUAAUAUGCAUGCAAGCAUUAAACUUAUAUACCAUACAUAAAAGGCUCACGGUUGGACAGGCCCAAACCGGAGAAUACAAGGCUAAUCUAACGAGCCCAAAAGACGCAACAUCAAAUAAAACUUCAGCCCAACAGGUCCGAUAUACCUUGGGUUUAGUUUCCCACGCUUUCCGAAAUGUAUUAAUCCCUUCCAGGGUGAGACCUUUAGUAGGACACGGUCUCCAACCUGGAAUUCCAAGGGUUUCCUUCUUUUAUCCGCAUAACUCUUUUGUCUGUCUCUAGAAGCCUUCAGUCGUUCUCAGAUUUGAACUAUCUUCUCUGUAGUUUCCCUUAUGAUUUCCGAUCC